GAAUCAUGGGUUAGUCAUAGUAGGCGCAUGAAUAUUUAAGUGGAUAAAUGUUUUUAAGUGGAAUCAUGAGUUUUGGAAACUACCUCUAAACCAAAAUUUAAAAAGACCAUAAUCUUUUUCUAACUAAUAUAUCAUUAUGCUCUUCUACACUUCUCUUCUUCUUGAAACUCUGUGAUUUCAUCGCAAAUUCAACUCAGGUUGGAUGUCUUUGCAGUAUUCACCAUUUGUUGAAGGACCGCAACAAUCCCAAUCUUUGGAGAAUUUUAAGAAUCCAAGUAAGAGAUGUUUAAUUUAUAUUUGAUCUUUAUUUCUAUAUUGUGCCUUAUGAAAUUAAAAGAAGACAAAAAAUACCAUAAAAUAUCUGGGUUAUUGACAUAUAAAGAAUUCCUUCCUUUUCUUUUUCUUUUUUUUUGACGGGAGAUUUCUUGUUUUUUUCUAGCCUAUAGCAUUUUUAACAUUUCAUUAAUUGAUCAUUUUUUUUCUUCUUACUUUUACUUUUUUUUCUUCUUACUUUCAUUUAUUACAUAUUAAAAUUGUAAAGUUAAUCGACUUGAUGCAGGGAAAUCACAUGGACGCAACUUCAAUUACUUUAUCACAAGAGAUGCUCGAGGAAAAUUUAAGAGAAAAGAUUAAUAUUUAUUCUUUUUUUUCUUGUAAAUUAUGUUUGUAUCGUUCUAUUCAUCGAAACAACAACUUGUAUGGAUAUCCAGAAAUUACAAGAGAUAUCCAGAAACAACAACUUGUAUAUGUGAUUCAUUAUGCAAAUAAAGAGUUA
rnacentral:lncRNA from 1 species